ACACUCAUAAACCCGAAAGUUUUGGGAAUCGCAGAGAUGAGAGAAUAGGGGCUAGGUCAACUUUUCCGAUUCAAAUUCGCGGGAAUCGGUGGCGCUGGAUCUGAUGGCGGUAGAGAUCGAAUCGGUAGAGGUCGGUUGUUUCAGUGGUUCGGCGCGGCGGACAAGUCGGUGGCUCGAUUUGUCGGUCGCCGUCGAGUUUCUAGGGUUUCUCGAAGACGGAACAGGAAACCAUUACUCUGCUGUCCAGCAGUGGGGGUUCCACGUUCUCAUUUGAAAUAUGCACUUGUUGGAUCUGAUGGUAUUUCAAAGGUGGCGGUCAAACUAGUACUCAGCGGUUGGUUCAAUUUGUCCAUGACAGUUGACCGGAUAUAUUCUUUGGUUCUCCAUGAUGGAGCAGUUCAUGCUGUCGAUCAACAAGGCUAGUUGGAUGUCGGUGAAAGAUCAAUUUGCGGACGAAGGUCAAAAACAGUAGGAAGGGACCUUCAAGAGGGUGAGAUAAGGACUAAACAAUGGGACUGCCGACUUCUUUGCCGUGCUGAACUACUGGUUUUGUUAAUUAGUUAUGUGAAUGUUCAAUCUGCCCAAGAAUAGCAUAAGUGAAAAGAAAAUGGAACAAAACAAAAUUAAAGUAUAUGCGGGCCCUCAUUACAAGCAUUUAUGUGGGGCCAAAUUGUUUUUUUUAUAAGAAAACAGUCAUACUUAAUC